ACCCCUACUGUCUCAGGACAUCCCCGUCCCUGCGGGUGUCUGGUGAUCCCUGCAGCUCAGGGUGAAGCCCAAGGAUUGGCCCAGGCGUGCAGAAAACCAGGUGGGGCCGUACCCUGGAGGGGUCACAGUCUUGCAUGGAAACAGGAAUCUAACACACGGACACUUAAUCCUGGCAUAAAAAGUACUCAGUCUACAGACAGGGGAGACGGAAUCACACCCCAGUGCGUGGAGAGUGGGAGCCCCGGCCCUCCAGAUGCGGUGAAGGGGGAGGCUUCAUCCCUCAAGCCUGGGGCACUGUUUAGUAAGUGUGAACCCAAGCAGCCUUUCAGGUCAGCGUCAUCAGUUUCCAGACAGUGUCCACACAUCCGGGUACUCUUGUCUUCCGUGAGCUGUCUCUGUGCCCCCAGGAGAAGGGCCAUUGCGCAGGCGUGAUGUGUGUCACCAGAGUGAGUUUUUUGAUUCUGGGACCCUUUGCAGGGACUUGUUGGAGCUGCCGCUUCCCUCUUUUGAAAUGUUUCAUUGUGAUUGUUACCUUUUAUUUAUCCAGUAAGUGCCGUGUUCCCACAUCCUGUGCAGCCGGGUGGAGCACUGAUACUCACCUCACAGUGAGGUGAGUGAUGCGGGUAAAUCAAAUUUCCUGACAACUGAAGGAUAAACCAGAAAGGAGCAUAGAUAACUUAGAAGGAUAACCUUACUAUAUCGCUUAUAAUUCCAAGAACCAGUUAGUGUAAUCUCUUCUUAACUAUGAGAAUGGUUUGACCUUUCACUACACUAGCUUUGCAUCUUAUGUGUCAUACACAGGGAAGAGCAGGUCGUGACUCUGUGAAGGCAGAGUGACAUCCGCGGGUCUUUGCCAUUACACCCAAGGGUGCCACAGGCUUCAUUGCGUGUGCCGUGUGUCUGCCCUGAAGACUUCUGGGCUUUCUCAUGCUUGCUUUUCUGCACAUGCUCAUCAUGCAACCUCUCCCACCACCACCCAUUAAUUUUGUGCUUUUAAUUAUUUAUGGUCUGUAAGAUCAUUUGAUCAACAAACACUUGCCAGGUAGACUGUGAAUCAGGCCCUU
rnacentral:lncRNA from 1 species